rnacentral:tRNA from 1 species
GUCCGCCGCGUUCAGUGGUAGAAUGCUCGCCUGCCACGCGGGCGGCCCGGGUUCGAUUCCCGGCCGAUU